GCCAGGUAUGGUGGUGUGUGCCUGUAGUCCCAGCUACUUGGGAGGCUGAGGCAGGAGGAUUACUAGAGCCCAGGAGUUUGAGGCUGCAAUGGGCUGUGAUCACACCACUACACUCCAGCCUGGGUGACAGAGUGAGAUCCUGUCUCUA
ensembl:misc_RNA Metazoa_SRP Metazoan signal recognition particle RNA